ACACGUUAUGUUGGGUUCCUAAAAAGAACAUGUUAUGUUGGAAAAAAAAACUGCUAAAACAGACAGAACCAUUGUUACGUACCCAGAGAUCGAAUCCCACGCCUCCCAGGCUCCCACGUACAUUAGCUUUUUCUUUUUCUUUUUGAGCUGCAUAUACGUUAGCUUUUGGCCUUAGUUCUUUAUAUGGGAUUCAAUACCAGAUCGAUCCCGCUUCCCACAAAUCAGUACAAAAUUCCAAUUGAUCGAAACAACUAAAUAAAAUAACAAGCAAUCUUCCCCGUAAAAAAAACAAUGUUUUUUUCUCUAAAAUUCCAAUUGAUCGAAACAACUAAAAUGACGACUAUAAUUUUGAAUAAACCGAAAACUAUGUCAAAAAUGUUUGAAGCAAACUUCUCUAACUGCCUCAUUCGCAUCUUGAUAUCUAUUAUAUACUAAAUAAAAGCAAUAUGAUUUUCUCCAAAUAUCAUGUAACAGAACGUUAGAAGAUCAAACAUGCAUAAGCUGGACUAUCCUUUUAAGUUUUACUAAGCCGC
rnacentral:lncRNA from 1 species